UACGAAGGGGGCUAGCGUUGUUCGGAAUCACUGGGCGUAAAGCGCACGUAGGCGGAUCUUUAAGUCAGGGGUGAAAUCCCGAGGCUCAACCUCGGAACUGCCUUUGAUACUGGGGAUCUCGAGUCCGGGAGAGGUGAGUGGAACUGCGAGCGUAGAGGUGAAAUUCGUAGAUAUUCGCAAGAACACCAGUGGCGAAGGCGGCUCACUGGCCCGGUACUGACGCUGAGGUGCGAAAGCGUGGGGAGCAAACAGG
rnacentral:rRNA from 1 species